UUGAGCCGGAUGAGAGGAAACUCUCAUGUCCGGUUUUGAGGGGGGGGGGGGGGGGCAUAGGACCCUAUCCUAAU
rnacentral:ncRNA from 1 species